CUGCUUGCUUCGACAGCACAUAUACUAAAAUUGGAACAAUACAGAGAUUAGCAUGGCCCCUGCACAAGGAUGACAAGCCAAUUUGUAAAGUAUUCCAUAUUUUU